UGGGGAAUUUUGGACAAUGGGCGAAAGCCUGAUCCAGCCAUGCCGCGUGAGUGAAGAAGGCCUUCGGGUUGUAAAGCUCUUUCAGCCGGAAAGAAAUCGCGCAGGCUAAUACUCUGCGUGGAUGACGGUACCGGAAGAAGAAGCACCGGCUAACUACGUGCCAGCAGCCGCGGUAAUACGUAGGGUGCGAGCGUUAAUCGGAAUUACUGGGCGUAAAGCGUGCGCAGGCGGUUAUAUAAGACGGAUGUGAAAUCCCCGGGCUCAACCUGGGAACUGCGUUUGUGACUG
rnacentral:rRNA from 1 species